CCUACGGGAGGCAGCAGUGGGGAAUAUUGGGCAAUGGAGGCAACUCUGACCCAGCAACGCCGCGUGAAUGAUGAAGGUCUUCGGAUUGUAAAGUUCUGUGAUGGGGGAUGAACACAAUGACGGUACCCCAAUAGCAAGCCACGGCUAACUACGUGCCAGCAGCCGCGGUAAUACGUAGGUGGCAAGCGUUAUCCGGAAUGACUGGGCGUAAAGGGGGCGUAGGUGGUUUAGUAAGUUGGCGGUGUAAUUCCGGGGCUCAACCUCGGCGCUACCGCCAAAACUAUUAGACUAGAGUGCAGGAGGGGUAAGUGGAAUUCCUAGUGUAGCGGUGGAAUGCGUAGAUAUUAGGAGGAACAUCAGGGGCGAAGGCGACUUACUGGACUGUAACUGACACUGGGGCACGAAAGCGUGGGGAGCAAACAGGAUUAGAUACCCCAGUAGUC
rnacentral:rRNA from 1 species